AGAGUUCGAUCCUGGCUCAGGAUGAACGCUGGCGGCGCGCCUAACACAUGCAAGUCGAACGGCACCUAUCUUCGGAUAGAAGCGAGUGGCGAACGGCUGAGUAACACGUGGAGAACCUGCCCCCUCCCCCGGGAUAGCCGCCCGAAAGGACGGGUAAUACCGGAUACCCCGGGGCGCCGCAUGGCACCCCGGCUAAAGCCCCGACGGGAGGGGAUGGCUCCGCGGCCCAUCAGGUAGACGGCGGGGUGACGGCCCACCGUGCCGACAACGGGUAGCCGGGUUGAGAGACCGACCGGCCAGAUUGGGACUGAGACACGGCCCAGACUCCUACGGGAGGCAGCAGUGGGGAAUCUUGCGCAAUGGGGGGAACCCUGACGCAGCGACGCCGCGUGCGGGACGGAGGCCUUCGGGUCGUAAACCGCUUUCAGCAGGGAAGAGUCAAGACUGUACCUGCAGAAGAAGCCCCGGCUAACUACGUGCCAGCAGCCGCGGUAAUACGUAGGGGGCGAGCGUUAUCCGGAUUCAUUGGGCGUAAAGCGCGCGUAGGCGGCCCGGCAGGCCGGGGGUCGAAGCGGGGGGCUCAACCCCCCGAAGCCCCCGGAACCUCCGCGGCUUGGGUCCGGUAGGGGAGGGUGGAACACCCGGUGUAGCGGUGGAAUGCGCAGAUAUCGGGUGGAACACCGGUGGCGAAGGCGGCCCUCUGGGCCGAGACCGACGCUGAGGCGCGAAAGCUGGGGGAGCGAACAGGAUUAGAUACCCUGGUAGUCCCAGCCGUAAACGAUGGACGCUAGGUGUGGGGGGACGAUCCCCCCGUGCCGCAGCCAACGCAUUAAGCGUCCCGCCUGGGGAGUACGGCCGCAAGGCUAAAAC
rnacentral:rRNA from 1 species